rnacentral:rRNA from 1 species
UACAGAGGGUGCAAGCGUUAAUCGGAUUUACUGGCGUAAAGCGCGCGUAGGCGGUUAAUUAAGUCAAAUGUGAAAUCCCCGAGCUUAACUUGGGAAUUGCAUUCGAUAACUGGUUAGCUAGAGUGUGGGAGAGGAUGGUAGAAUUCAGGUGUAGCGGUGAAAUGCGUAGAGAUCGGAAGGAAUACCGAUGGCGAAGGCAGCCAUCUGGCCUAACACUGACGCUG